GAAAGGGCAAGACUCUAUUGAAACAAAUGAAAAGCCUCCAGAAUCACAAGAAAAUAAAUUUCUAUUGUUAUAAGGCACCUAGUUGGUGAUACUUUCCUACAGCAGCCCAAAGAAACCAAUACACUAACUAACCAAGAUGACUGUGGAAACCUAUGAAGCUGGCAAUAAUGCAUUUGCUUUUGGAAUCUACAUCAUAAAAUCUUUGCCCAGUCCCAUGUCCAGAACGGUAUUGCCUAGGUUUCCAGGGUUUUGAUAGCUUAUGUUUUACAGGUAAGUUUUUAAUCUACCCUGAGAUGUUUUUUUGUAUAUGGUAUAGGAA
rnacentral:lncRNA from 1 species